AGUGCCAGGCCUUCACAGAUGUUAAAUUUUCAUUUGACUUUCAUUUUAAAAUAAGAGAAUUAAGAUUGUAGGUAAAUUGAAAGAAGAAGUGGAGAGUUAUCCGGACUGAGCGCAGGAACCGGAAGUAGAAUCUCAAACGACAGAAGAGAAGGAAAUGUGAACGUCGAUGCGGGGGAGACGAGAUUGCUCUGAAAAAGACUGCAGGGUGAGAGGGGGAAGAAAGAGUUCAGUCUUCUGCAAGGCUGGCUUCCUCCAGCCUAACCAUGCUAUGCACUCGUGCUUCAAAAAGCCUUCAAACAUUAAUUAACGUUUUCUGAAAAGCACCCAACCAUUCGGCUCUGAUAGCAGCGAGAUUGAAAAGCACGGAGUUCUGCAGAGGUUUGGCAGUGUGGCGAAGGAUCCAGACACAAAACCUGGGAGCUGUGUGCGCCUGCUGCACUUGCCUUACUGAGAUGCUAUCAGGAAAGAAUGGGUAAGGCUGCAGCACCGAAUCACCUCCGGAGGCACUGCACCCUCAUGAUCUGAGAGAAUAUCGUUUCGAAAAUGAAGAUUUCAGCAUUGGAAUUUGGGGGACAUUUUCCCCAUAGCUUCCCUAGUUUGCUUUCCUGCUGCUGUGAUAGACACAAUCACAAGCAACUUGAAAGGGAAAGGUUUAUUUGCUUUAUACAACCCAAUCAUAGUUCAUCACUGGCAGAAGUCAGGGCUGGAACUCAGGGGAACCUAGAGGCCGGAAUUGAAGCAAAAGCCAUGGAAGAACACUGCUUACUGGCCUGCUCCUCAUGGCUUGUUCAGCCUGCUUUUUUCUAGCACCUAGGACCACUAGAAAAGGGGUGGCAUCUUCUACAACGGGCUGGGCCCUCCCACAUCAGUCAUUAAACUAGCAAGUGCCCCAUAGAUUUGCUUCCAAGCCAAAUCAGUGAAGGUGAUUUCUCAACAGAAGUUCCAGAUUCCUAGAUGAGCCUUGUUUGUACCAAGUUGAGAAGAAAUAACUCACAGAGUUAUAAUCACACAGGAGGAGCGUAGUAGACAGACAGCUUUUACAUUUGAACUCAGGUCCGGACACAUACUUUGUUAUUGUUAACAACAUGAUCCUGAGAGAGAAAUUUAACCGCAGGCCUCAAUCUGUGCUCACUUGGGUAUAUGUUUAUAGAUGAUUCGUGACCUUUUGAGUUUAUUAACAUUAGGUUUCCACUUCUGUGACCUUUUAUGUUUAUCAACACUAGGUUUCCACUUCCGUUGCUGUAUCCAUCCAUCUCAACGCCAUUUCCCGACAUGGUGGUUCAAAGAACUAUUUUCAGUAUUUACUUAUGCACGUGUUCUUUACCCCUUAACGUUUUUAGUAUUCUUGCUUAUCCAUCAUGUUGAUCUGGGACUUCCUGUGUCUUAGAUACACGCCAAUAGCUAAAAUGGCCCCUAAGACCCAGCCAUUUUCACGAGGGUUAGAAGAUAAAGGAAGACGUUCUUUGUCUUUAUAUCUGAAUUUUGAGUCCUGCUUGCAUAAUUUUAGACUAUGGGAAGUCUGUCUUAAAAAGGAUUUCAGGAGUGUUUCGUAUAAUGUUGUCAAAAACAAAACAAAACAAGAAAAACCCCCCAGCUUUUGCUGAUUCCUUCAUAUCUUUUUUGUUUUUCUAAAAUCGUUCUGCUUUUAUCAAUAGAUGCACAUCCCCAAAUAUUAAAAAUACUUAGGGUUUCUUAAUUAAUUUUAUUUUAGAGUGGAAAUUUCUAUCUUAACAAGGUGCGUUAGCUCUUAGAAUAGGCCUGACAGGGAUUGAGCCAUCAAUGACAAUUGCAGCCAGCUAUAGACAUGUUACCGUGUGCAGCAGCAAAGGCUAUGAGGAAAUAAAACAUUACACGGGUACAUCUAAUAUCAUGUGAUUGUUUUAAAUCAUUCUCUUCAUGCAUGCGUAACCUAUAUUUGUCGCUUUUAUUCGAGAAACUUUUAGUAUGUUUAAAGUAUUUAUUUAUUUUGCACUUGUCUGCAUGUACCCACAUGCAGCACAACACUCCUGUGGGUCAGAGGACAACCCACAGGAACUGAUUCUCUCCCCCUCCACCAUGUGGGCUCCAACUUAGGUCACAUGCUUUGGUGAUAAACAUGUCUGCCAGCAGAACAGCUUCCUAGCCUGACCUCUAAUAUUGUUUGACGUACGACUAUCAUAUCAUUUGGGUGUAUUUCCAUAUAAACAUUGGAAUUCACAGGUCAUUGAAAAGAAAACCUUCUAUCACUUUGAUUUGGAUCACAUUGGAUGUGGAUCCACUGGUAAAAUUUAUGAGUACUGAGUCAUAGCAAAAGGUUGCUAUUUAGAUGGCCCUCCAUUUAGCGUAGCAGUGUGCAUUGAUGGUAUUUAGAUGGGUAUUGUUCUUCUUCUUUUUUAUUUUACAUUUGUCUGAAGCUCAUAUGGUGUGUCCUUCCCAGAUUUAGUCACUACUUCAAAAAUCCAUUCAGGAGAGUCAGCAGAAUAUAUGCAAAAAAUGAGUCCUUUUCAAGUAUAAAUUGUUCUAAUUUUCCUCUUUGAUCCUUACAGCUUUUAAAUCUUCCCUUUCCUAAGUCAUUGAAGAAACACUUCACAAUAUUGCAGAAUAAAGCUGGUUAGAUGACUGCUGUCACAUAUCAUCUCUGUAAAAACCAUUUAGUAUCUGAAUGUUAUCUUGUUAUUUCUCUGUUAGUUUUCCUACUGACGUUUUAUGUAUGUGCAAAAUACAUUUACCCCUGGUGUAGAGAGAACAUCUUGCAUAUUGCGUGGAUGUGUCACCUGUCAGUUAAAAUGUCUAUGUCCUAGGGAGGAAAGAGAGGUGGGACGUCCAGGAGGCAGGAAGAAUUAUGGGAGAGAGCCAGGCAGGAGAUUUGCUGGAAAGACGUAAUGAGAAGGACAUAUGUUACCUGGGCACGGGUAACUAGGCAUGUGCAGAAUGUGGGUUAAAGUAAAUGGGUUUUCUUAAGUUAUUACUGUAGUUAGAGAAGAGCCUAGCUAUAUGGCCAAGGCGAACAUGUUUUGAAUCUGAGUGUUAUUUCUGGGGUUAUGGGGCUGGGAGGAAGAACCAUGGCUAAUGUCAACACACUGGUAUGUCUACGCCCUAUGAACAUGAAAUUGUAUUUUUGUUCCACAACACUAAAUGUCUUCUAGUUUGUCUUGUGGCCUCUUCCUGUCUUUAUAGGCCAUUUAAAAAUUUGGUUAUCAUUUUUCUAUAUACCUUAGUUAUUAUAAGAACUUUUUUGCUUCCUGAUCUGAAGAUAUAAGUGAAUUAUUUUACUUCUUAAGUAUUGCAUUCUUGCCAGCAAUCUAACUUAGUAUUUAAAUAAGAAAGCCAUCAAGAUGGCUCAGUAGGUAAAUGUUCUUGAUGUUCAGGCCUAACAACCUGAGUUUGAUCCCCUGAUCCCAUAGUGGAAGGAGAACAUUCUAGUUCCCUUUUCCUGCUUUGAUAAAGACCAUAUAUACCGAAAAGUGACUUGGGGGGCAAAGAAUUUACUUGGCAAAAAUAACCUGGUCACAGUCCAACAUCAAGGGAGGCAAGGCAGGAAUUCAAGACAGGUCUUUGGAGACAGGGACUGAAGCAGAGAACAUGAAGGAACACUGCUUACUGCCUUGGCCCUCAUGUCUUGCUCAGUUUGCUUUCUUAUGCCUUGCACACCUGAUAAGGGAUGGCAGCACACUCAAUGAGCUGGGUCCUCCUCCACCAAUCAUUAAUUAAGAAAAUGCCCACUGACUUGCAUAGAGGCCAGUCUUAUGGAGACAAUUAUUCAACUGGUAUUCUCUCUACCCUAAUGAUGCUUGUAUCAAGUUGUCAUAAAACUAAUCAGCACAUAGAGAAUCUAUUACACACACACACACACACACACACACACACACACACACACAAUGGAGGAUUCUUGAAAAUAGUUGUUAUUUUAGUCAUAUAAAUUAACCUAUAUUACGUCAACUUUAAUAAACUUUAGUAAACUUUGCCAGAAUUUUAUAUAAAGCCAUUCACUGGAAUAACGAUAGUGCACAUUUAAUAUGUAACCCUCUGGGUAGAAAGAGAAGCAGCAACAGCUAAUUGUGGGCACCAUAUUUUAAGCUUCACUCUUCAUGGAAUUUUAUAGAAUGUGUCCAUUAAAAUCACUGCCUUGUCCUAGUUACAAGCAGUCUGUUUUCUAUGAUUUAUUUUUUUCCUUCCUCUUGUCUUCUCGGUUCUUAUAUCAGUGAUUAGAACUAUUCUCAAUUAUUUUUUCUUCCAACACUCUGAUUUAACUUCAUAUGCACAGUUCCCAGCUGUGUGAUUAUUGGUAAAAUUUCCAAAACUAUUAAUGGUUUAUUUUUGGUACUGUGCGACUGGUACUUUUAGGCUCUGUGUGUUCCUUUGAAAACUCCCCAAAUCUUACUUUUCUUUUUUCA